UCCAGGCCCUACGGGGCGCAGCAGGCGCGAAAUCUUUACACUGCACGCGAGUGCGAUAAGGGGACUCCAAGUGCGAGGGCAUAUAGUCCUCGCUUUUUCCGACCGUAGGAUGGUCGGCGAAUAAGUGCUGGGCAAGACCGGUGCCAGCCGCCGCGGUAAUACCGGCAGCACGAGUGAUGACCGCUAUUAUUGGGCCUAAAGCGUCCGUAGCUGGCCACGCAAGUCCAUCGGGAAAUCUCUCCGCUCAACGGAGAGGCGUCCGGUGGAAACUGUGUGGCUUGGGACCGGAAGAUCCAGAGGGUACGUCUGGGGUAGGAGUGAAAUCCCGUAAUCCGAGACGGACCACCGGUGGCGAAAGCGCUCUGGAAAGACGGAUCCGACGGUGAGGGACGAAAGCUCGGGUCACGAACCGGAUUAGAUACCCGGGUAGUCCGAGCUGUAAACGAUGUCUGCUAGGUGUGACACAGGCUACGAGCCUGUGUUGUGCCGUAGGGAAGCCGUGAAGCAGACCGCCUGGGAAGUACGUCUGCAAGGAUGAAACUUAAAGGAAUUGGCGGGGGAGCACUAC
rnacentral:rRNA from 1 species